rnacentral:misc_RNA from 1 species
UGCAAGCCUAUCUGUUCGUUUAGGGUUUUAUUUUCUUAGAGUAAGGUCAAAAUGUGAGUUGGGUCAAUCAAAAACCACAUUCUCGCGAUUGGUUUUUUGGCCGGAGUUGGCUAUCAAAACCUAGCCGAGCGAUUUGGCGUGUGAGCUCCGAGUCUAAGGUGUGAGUCCGCUUUGGAAGGGAUCAUGAACCAACCUGGUUCACUGAAUAUGCCGAUAUUAUCAUGUGUCAUGCGUUAACAUGCGAGUUUAGUAAUUGAGUCGAA